GGCGAACGCUGGCGGCGUGCUUAACACAUGCAAGUCGAACGGAAAGGCCCUGCUUUUGUGGGGUGCUCGAGUGGCGCACGGGUGAGUAACACGUGAGUAACCUGCCCUUGACUUUGGGAUAACUUCAGGAAACUGGGGCUAAUACCGGAUAGGAGCUCCUGCUGCAUGGUGGGGGUUGGAAAGUUUCGGCGGUUGGGGAUGGACUCGCGGCUUAUCAGCUUGUUGGUGGGGUAGUGGCUUACCAAGGCUUUGACGGGUAGCCGGCCUGGGAGGGUGACCGGCCACAUUGGGACUGAGAUACGGCCCAGACUCCUACGGGAGGCAGCAGUGGAGAAUAUUGCGCAAUGGGCGGAAGCCUGAUGCAGCAACGCCGCGUGCGGGAUAACGGCCUUCGGGUUGUAAACCGCUUUCGCCUGUGACGAAGCGUGAGUGACGGUAAUGGGUAAAGAAGCACCGGCUAACUACGUG
rnacentral:rRNA from 1 species